UUNAUUAUAUUUAAUGCAUUUAUUGUUAUGAUAUGAUAUUAACACAAUUCUAUUACUAUUUAUUUAGUAUAUGAAAUUUUACUUUGAGAAAAUUAGAGUGCUUAAAGCAGGCAAUAGCCUUGAAUACUAGAGCAUGGAAUAAUAAUAAAAGGAUUUUUAUCUUUUUUUUAUUGGGUUCUAAGANUAAAAAUAAUGAUUAAUAGGGACAGUUGGGGGCAUUUGUAUUUAACAGUUAGAGGUGAAAUUCUUAGAUUUGUUAAAGACAAACUAAUGCGAAAGCAUUUGCCAAGGAUGUUUUCAUUAAUCAAGAACGAAAGUUAGGGGAUCGAAGACGAUCAGAUACCGUCGUAGUCUUACCAUAAACUUGCCACUAGAGAUUGGAGGUUGUUCCUUACGGNCCCCCA
rnacentral:rRNA from 1 species